rnacentral:rRNA from 1 species
CACGUAGGGUGCGAGCGUUGUCCGGAAUUAUUGGGCGUAAAGAGCUCGUAGGCGGUGUGUCGCGUCGGCCGUGAAAACCUGCAGCUUAACUGUGGGCGUGCGGUCGAUACGGGCAUCACUGGAGUUCGGCAGGGGAGACUGGAAUUCCUGGUGUAGCGGUGAAAUGCGCAGAUAUCAGGAGGAACACCGGUGGCGAAGGCGGCCUGCUGGGCUGUUGCUGACGCUGAGGCGCGACAGCGUGGGGAGCAAACAGG